AUCACCUACUACUACCUAUGUAUAGUACACCAUCUCUGUUUCCUUUCCUCUUGUUUUCUUUGUUCAAGAUUAUCACCAUCAAACUUUAAGAUUUGAAUGUCAGACACUCAAUUGAGCAUUACCCUAAUAUUAUAUUUAGAAAUGUGAUUGGGAAUAAUUCACUUCUAAUAAAAAGGCCCUAGAUAUUUUUUUUAUAUCAAAACCAAACAAACAUAUCACCCAACCUCCCCUCUCUCUCUCCCGUACAGAUCCGGCGACCGGACUCUGGCGACGGCUCCGGCCGGUCCCGUUUGUUUCUCCGGUAGGCAACAUCACCACAACCCUCCUCCCCUCUGCUCCUUCUCCCUCUCGACUCGUGCUCUGGCUUCGUUUACGGCUAACACCUCUCUCUCCUACUCUCACUCUACUCUUUUUCUGAACAAAUGGCCGAUCACCGCUCGAUGGUGGCGGCGCUCAAACACAGCGGCAGCAGCUGCGACGUACGACAGAUGGGGGGUAUGGUGGGGUCGGGUGGCGUCUCAAGGCGGAGAAGGAGCGGUUGCUCCGACAAACCUCCGACAGGCCCGACGAAGCUGAUGAUGAUGAUGUGGCCACUGUUGUUGCUGACUGAUGAUGAUGGUGGAUGCCGAUGAUGGACGUCCAGCGGUGGCAUUAGCCGGCCGGAGACAUUAGGCGGCGGGGGUGCUUUAUUUUUCGACAAAGUUAUACGAUGAUGUUGUAGUGCCGGCUUAGUUUCGGGCUAUUCACAGUCAAAAUGUUCGGGUUAGGUGUGAACUCGGUUCAAACAUGGCAUGGUUCAACAGGCUUCUUCAUCUCAAGUGCAGUUCAGUUUCGUUUCAGAUUCGGGUUUUUCGGCUCGGCUACAGUUUGGGUUCGGUUAGCUCAGUGGUGGUUCGGGACGACACGGUUCAUCGGGUCAGAUUUGGACUCGGGUCAACUCAGUUCGGGUCCGGGUCAACACAGUCAAAACUCGGUCAACCUGAGUUAACUCGGUCAAACCGAGUCAACUCAGUCAACGACAGUCAACGAUGGUCAAACUCAGUCAAACGAAGAUCCGGAAUACUAUAGUUGCACGCUAGCUAAUUCAAGUUCUUGGAACAACCUCAUGGAAUACACACUUAGCUAGCUUUGCACAAGGAUAUCAAGGUUACAUUUUCAACACUAUGGAACGGUUGGAAUAGGAAAACCCAUGGAAAUUCGAGUAAUUAGCAGGCGUUACAUUUCUAGAAGUCUUAGCUUAUAUACUUCCACUGUGCAAUGAAGAUACCGGUCCAGUCACGCCAGCUCUGAUAUUUUCGGGGUGUGACACCUGAGACAGAGAAGAGAAGAAAAAGGGAUCCUCGACCUGGUGUGUGACAACUGUCAAAUUUGCAUGCAUCCGUACGUUAAUUAAUAUUGAUUUGUGCUUAAUGACUGUGCUAAAUUCCAACUGAUGAUUAAAACUGAUUUAUGAUUUUUGUAUCAUACAUACAUAUGCAUCAC